AUACGUAGGUGGCAAGCGUUGUCCGGAAUUACUGGGCGUAAAGGGCGAGUAGGCGGUUAGUUAAGUCAGGUGUGUAAACUCUCGGCUCAACCGAGAGAUUGCAUCUGAUACUGGCUAGCUUGAGUGCAGGAGAGGGCAGUGGAAUUCCUAGUGUAGCGGUGAAAUGCGUAGAUAUUAGGAGGAACACCAGUGGCGAAGGCGACUGCCUGGACUGUAACUGACGCUGAGGCGCGAAAGCGUGGGGAGCAAACAGGAUUAGAUACCCUGGUAGUCCACGCCGUAAACGAUGGGUACUAGGUGUAGAGGGUAUCGACCCCUUCUGUGCCGGAGUUAACACAAUAAGUACCCCGCCUGGGGAGUACGGCCGCAAGGUUGAA
rnacentral:rRNA from 1 species